AUGCCCUGGCAGUCAGAGGCGAUGAAGGGCGUGCUAAUCUGCGAUAAGCGCCGGUAAGGUGAUAUGAACCGUUAUAACCGGCGAUACCCGAAUGGGGAAACCCAGUGUGAUUCGUCACACUAUCAUUAACUGAAUCCAUAGGUUAAUGAGGCGAACCGGGGGAACUGAAACAUCUAAGUACCCCGAGGAAAAGAAAUCAACCGAGAUUCCCCCAGUAGCGGCGAGCGAACGGGGAGGAGCCCAGAGCCUGAAUCAGCAUGUGUGUUAGUGGAAGCGUCUGGAAAGGCGCGCGAUACAGGGUGACAGCCCCGUACACAAAAGCGCAUGUGCUGUGAGCUCGAUGAGUAGGGCGGGACACGUGGUAUCCUGUCUGAAUAUGGGGGGACCAUCCUCCAAGGCUAAAUACUCCUGACUGACCGAUAGUGAACCAGUACCGUGAGGGAAAGGCGAAAAGAACCCCGGCGAGGGGAGUGAAAAAGAACCUGAAACCGUGUACGUACAAGCAGUGGGAGCNNGGGCGUUAAGUUGCAGGGUAUAGACCCGAAACCCGGUGAUCUAGCCAUGGGCAGGUUGAAGGUUGGGUAACACUAACUGGAGGACCGAACCGACUAAUGUUGAAAAAUUAGCGGAUGACCUGUGGCUGGGGGUGAAAGGCCAAUCAAACCGGGAGAUAGCUGGUUCUCCCCGAAAGCUAUUUAGGUAGCGCCUCGUGAAUUCAUCUCCGGGGGUAGAGCACUGUUUCGGCUAGGGGGCCAUCCCGGCUUACCAACCCGAUGCAAACUGCGAAUACCGGAGAAUGUUAUCACGGGAGACACACGGCGGGUGCUAACGUCCGUCGUGAAGAGGGAAACAACCCAGACCGCCAGCUAAGGUCCCAAAGUCAUGGUUAAGUGGGAAACGAUGUGGGAAGGCCCAGACAGCCAGGAUGUUGGCUUAGAAGCAGCCAUCAUUUAAAGAAAGCGUAAUAGCUCACUGGUCGAGUCGGCCUGCGCGGAAGAUGUAACGGGGCUAAACCAUGCACCGAAGCUGCGGCAGCGANNUGCUGGAGGUAUCAGAAGUGCGAAUGCUGACAUAAGUAACGAUAAAGCGGGUGAAAAGCCCGCUCGCCGGAAGACCAAGGGUUCCUGUCCAACGUUAAUCGGGGCAGGGUGAGUCGACCCCUAAGGCGAGGCCGAAAGGCGUAGUCGAUGGGAAACGGGUUAAUAUUCCCGUACUUGGUGUUACUGCGAAGGGGGGACGGAGAAGGCUAUGUUGGCCGGGCGACGGUUGUCCCGGUUUAAGCGUGUAGGUGUGUGUUCCAGGUAAAUCCGGUUCACUUUAACACUGAGGCGUGACGACGAGGCACUACGGUGCUGAAGCAACAAAUGCCCUGCUUCCAGGAAAAGCCUCUAAGCAUCAGGUAACACGAAAUCGUACCCCAAACCGACACAGGUGGUCAGGUAGAGAAUACCAAGGCGCUUGAGAGAACUCGGGUGAAGGAACUAGGCAAAAUGGUGCCGUAACUUCGGGAGAAGGCACGCUGACACGUAGGUGAAGUGAUUUACUCAUGGAGCUGAAGUCAGUCGAAGAUACCAGCUGGCUGCAACUGUUUAUUAAAAACACAGCACUGUGCAAACACGAAAGUGGACGUAUACGGUGUGACGCCUGCCCGGUGCCGGAAGGUUAAUUGAUGGGGUCAGCGCAAGCGAAGCUCCUGAUCGAAGCCCCGGUAAACGGCGGCCGUAACUAUAACGGUCCUAAGGUAGCGAAAUUCCUUGUCGGGUAAGUUCCGACCUGCACGAAUGGCGUAAUGAUGGCCAGGCUGUCUCCACCCGAGACUCAGUGAAAUUGAACUCGCUGUGAAGAUGCAGUGUACCCGCGGCAAGACGGAAAGACCCCGUGAACCUUUACUAUAGCUUGACACUGAACAUUGAGCCUUGAUGUGUAGGAUAGGUGGGAGGCUUUGAAGUGUGGACGCCAGUCUGCAUGGAGCCGACCUUGAAAUACCACCCUUUAAUGUUUGAUGUUCUAACGUGGACCCGUAAUCCGGGUUGCGGACAGUGUCUGGUGGGUAGUUUGACUGGGGCGGUCUCCUCCUAAAGAGUAACGGAGGAGCACGAAGGUUGGCUAAUCCUGGUCGGACAUCAGGAGGUUAGUGCAAUGGCAUAAGCCAGCUUGACUGCGAGCGUGACGGCGCGAGCAGGUGCGAAAGCAGGUCAUAGUGAUCCGGUGGUUCUGAAUGGAAGGGCCAUCGCUCAACGGAUAAAAGGUACUCCGGGGAUAACAGGCUGAUACCGCCCAAGAGUUCAUAUCGACGGCGGUGUUUGGCACCUCGAUGUCGGCUCAUCACAUCCUGGGGCUGAAGUAGGUCCCAAGGGUAUGGCUGUUCGCCAUUUAAAGUGGUACGCGAGCUGGGUUUAGAACGUCGUGAGACAGUUCGGUCCCUAUCUGCCGUGGGCGCUGGAGAACUGAGGGGGGCUGCUCCUAGUACGAGAGGACCGGAGUGGACGCAUCACUGGUGUUCGGGUUGUCAUGCCAAUGGCACUGCCCGGUAGCUAAAUGCGGAAGAGAUAAGUGCUGAAAGCAUCUAAGCACGAAACUUGCCCCGAGAUGAGUUCUCCCUGAGACUUAGAGUCUCCUGAAGGAACGUUGAAGACGACGACGUUGAUAGGCCGGGUGUGUAAGCGCAGCGAUGCGUUGAGCUAACCGGUACUAAUGAACCGUGAGGCUUAACCUUACAA
rnacentral:rRNA from 1 species